rnacentral:tRNA from 4 species
GGCUAGAUGGCCGAGCGGUUAUGGCGUGUGACUCAAGUUCUCAUGGGGAAACCCGCGGGGGUUCGAAUCCCCCUCUAGUCA